UACGUAGGGUGCAAGCGUUGUCCGGAAUUAUUGGGCGUAAAGAGCCCGUAGGCGGUCUGUCGCGUCGGCUGUGAAAACCUGGGGCUUAACUCCGGGCCUGCAGCCGAUACGGGCAGACUAGAGUUCGGCAGGGGAGACUGGAAUUCCUGGUGUAGCGGUGAAAUGCGCAGAUAUCAGGAGGAACACCGGUGGCGAAGGCGGGUCUCUGGGCCGAAACUGACGCUGAGGAGCGAAAGCGUGGGGAGCAAACAGG
rnacentral:rRNA from 1 species